AUCAGCCUUAGCAGUUAGCAUUUUUACCUUCUGACACAUCUUCCAACUCUCCAAAACCAAUUUUUAAUGACUAUGUUGUUAAGAUCUCUAGAUGUCCUUUCUUGGUUUGUGUGUACAGGGGCAGAUUUAUUGGCACCAUCUCAGAUAUCCACCACUGGGAUUACAGCACUGACUUAUCAUGAUUGUGAUGGGGUUCUGACUCAGGUCCUCAGGUAAGAUCUCACCGUGUAACCAGGACUGGCCCUAAGCUCUCACAUUUGCCUGCCUCCGUCUCCUGAGUGCGGGCUAAAAAUGGGCAACACCGUGACUGGCUCCUCUUCAGUUUGGCAGCUUUGUUACCCUAAGAUUCAGUCCCCCUUGAAGUAGCAGCUAUGGGGAGGGCUACCAGUUACUUACAGAAGGACUUCAUGCAGGUUCUCCAAAGACAUCACCAGCAGGUCCCCUGCAGAUGGCCAAGCCCUUUCUCUGAACACAGCUUGAAAAGGCACCGUGCAGAAUGGAAAGACAGGAUCAGCAUUAAUCAUCCCAGAACAGCUCAGACCAGCUUUGCAGGGGAGAAGUGGGCUGCAGGGAAGAUUGGCAGCUGGGGACCUGCUGUCAAGAGACUCCGGGGUGGAGGCUUCUGCUAGGUUAAGGAGCCAGUGUUUGGACUCAGUUCCCAAGGGUGUACACUGUCUGCUGUUCUCCCCUGCAGAGACCAGACUGAAGUCCCAAGCAAGGCAGUCCCU